rnacentral:rRNA from 1 species
GACGAACGCUGGCGGCGUGCUUAACACAUGCAAGUCGAGCGGAAAGGCCCUUCGGGGUACUCGAGCGGCGAACGGGUGAGUAACACGUGGGUAACCUGCCCCAGACUUUGGGAUAACCCUCGGAAACGGGGGCUAAUACCGGAUACGACACAGCUUCGCAUGGGGUCUGUGUGGAAAGUUUUUCGGUUUGGGAUGGGCUCGCGGCCUAUCAGCUUGUUGGUGGGGUGAUGGCCUACCAAGGCGACGACGGGUAGCCGGCCUGAGAGGGCGACCGGCCACACUGGGACUGAGAAACGGCCCAGACUCCUACGGGAGGCAGCAGUGGGGAAUAUUGCACAAUGGGCGGAAGCCUGAUGCAGCGACGCCGCGUGAGGGAUGACGGCCUUCGGGUUGUAAACCUCUUUCAGCAGGGACGAAGCGUAAGUGACGGUACCUGCAGAAGAAGCGCCGGCCAACUACGUG